UGGGGAAUUUUGGACAAUGGGCGCAAGCCUGAUCCAGCCAUGCCGCGUGAGUGAAGAAGGCCUUCGGGUUGUAAAGCUCUUUCGGCCGGAACGAAAUCGCAACGUUUAAUAGGCGUUGUGGAUGACGGUACCGGAAUAAGAAGCACCGGCUAACUACGUGCCAGCAGCCGCGGUAAUGCGUAGGGUGCGAGCGUUAAUCGGAAUUACUGGGCGUAAAGCGUGCGCAGGCGGUUUGUUAAGCCAGAUGUGAAAGCCCCGGGCUCAACCUGGGAACUGCGUUUGGUACUGGCAAGCUAGAGUACGGCAGAAGGGGGUGGAAUUCCACGUGUAGCAGUGAAAUGCGUAGAGAUGUGGAGGAACACCGAUGGCGAAGGCAGCCCCCUGGGCCGAUACUGACGCUCAGGCACGAAAGCGUGGGGAGCAAACAGGAUUAGAUACCCUGGUAGUCCACGCCCUAAACGAUGCGAACUAGUCGUUGGAGUAGCAAUAC
rnacentral:rRNA from 1 species